UACGUAGGGGGCAAGCGUUGUCCGGAUUUAUUGGGCGUAAAGAGCGUGUAGGCGGCUAGGUAGGUCCGCUGUGAAAACUUGAGGCUCAACCUCAAGAGGUCGGUGGAAACCAUCUGGCUAGAGUCCGGAAGAGGAGAGUGGAAUUCCCGGUGUAGCGGUGAAAUGCGCAGAUAUCGGGAAGAACACCAGUGGCGAAAGCGCACUUCUGGGUUGUUACUGACGCUGAGGUACGAAAGCGUGGGGAGCAAACGGG
rnacentral:rRNA from 1 species